GGCUUGAUAGGACAAACGGUUAGUGUUCCUGCUUUAAUUAUGCAUUGCACGCAUUGUGGACCACGCGAGUAUAAUAUACCCCCCCCCCCCUCCCUCCCCCCACUGAAGAAAUAAUGCAGAUGAUCCCGGUUCGAUUCCGGGUCAGGCCA